rnacentral:misc_RNA from 1 species
UGGAAAUAGAGAAAAGUGGGGAUGUGGUUACUGAAGUGGAAGCUGCAGUUCCAUCUGAAGGUUUUUGUGAGUCGGAAGAUUCAAAGUCCAAUAUACAGGAAACUAUUCUGCCUUCUGAAACUGAAGAUAAUUUGGUAACUUAUGAUGCAGAUGACUUUAAGUUUCAGGAACACCAUCUAACCUCUUCUUUAGUAGGAGAUAAUUCAGAGCAGCCUCAGCCC